CACAAGCGUGGAGCAUGUGGUUUAAUUCGACGCAACGCGAAGACCUUACUGGAUUUGACAUCCCGGGAAUCUUUCUGAAAGGAUUGAGUGCCCUUCGGGGAGCCCGGUGACAGGUGCUGCAUGGCUGUCGUCAGCUCGUGUCGUGAGAUGUUGGGUUAAGUCCCGCAACGAGCGCAACCCUUAUCUUUAGUUACCAUCAUUAAGUUGGGGACUCUAAAGAUACUGCCCCGGUUAACGGGAGAAGUGGGGAUGACGUCAAGUCCUCAUGGCCUUUAUGUCCAGGGCUACACACGUGCUACAAUGGGUUGUACAAAGGGUUGCGAACUCGCGAGAGUAAGCCAAUCUCAAAAAGCAACUCUUAGUUCGGAUUGGAGUCUGCAACUCGACUCCAUGAAGCUGGAAUCGCUAGUAAUCGUGGAUCAGCAUGCCACGGUGAAUACGUUCCCGGGCCUU
rnacentral:rRNA from 1 species